ACUUAACCGAACCUUCUGGGAACGUUAAGGGCGGCGAGCGGCGGACGGGUGAGUAAUGCCUGGGAAUAUGCCCUGAUGUGGGGGAUAACUAUUGGAAACGAUAGCUAAUACCGCAUAAUCUCUUCGGAGCAAAGAGGGGGACCUUCGGGCCUCUCGCGUCAGGAUUAGCCCAGGUGGGAUUAGCUUGUUGGUGAGGUAAUGGCUCACCAAGGCGACGAUCCCUAGCUGGUCUGAGAGGAUGAUCAGCCACACUGGAACUGAGACACGGUCCAGACUCCUACGGGAGGCAGCAGUGGGGAAUAUUGCACAAUGGGGGAAACCCUGAUGCAGCCAUGCCGCGUGUGUGAAGAAGGCCUUCGGGUUGUAAAGCACUUUCAGUAGGGAGGAAGGUAGUGUAGUUAACACCUGCAUUACUUGACGUUACCUACAGAAGAAGCACCGGCUAACUCCGUGCCAGCAGCCGCGGUAAUACGGAGGGUGCGAGCGUUAAUCGGAAUUACUGGGCGUAAAGCGCAUGCAGGCGGCCUGCUAAGUCAGAUGUGAAAGCCCGGGGCUUAACCUCGGAAUUGCAUUUGAAACUGGCAGGCUAGAGUCUUGUAGAGGGGGGUAGAAUUUCAGGUGUAGCGGUGAAAUGCGUAGAGAUCUGAAGGAAUACCAGUGGCGAAGGCGGCCCCCUGGACAAAGACUGACGCUCAGAUGCGAAAGCGUGGGGAGCAAACAGGAUUA
rnacentral:rRNA from 1 species